AGAGUUUGAUCAUGGCUCAAGAACGAACGCUGGCGGCAUGCCUAACACAUGCAAGUCGAACGAGACCUUCGGGUCUAGUGGCGCACGGGUGCGUAACGCGUGGGAAUCUGCCCUUUGCUUCGGAAUAACAGUUAGAAAUGACUGCUAAUACCGGAUGAUGUCUUCGGACCAAAGAUUUAUCGGCAAAGGAUGAGCCCGCGUAGGAUUAGGUAGUUGGUGGGGUAAAGGCCUACCAAGCCGACGAUCCUUAGCUGGUCUGAGAGGAUGAUCAGCCACACUGGGACUGAGACAUGGCCCAGACUCCUACGGGAGGCAGCAGUGGGGAAUAUUGGACAAUGGGCGCAAGCCUGAUCCAGCAAUGCCGCGUGAGUGAUGAAGGCCUUCGGGUCGUAAAGCUCUUUACCAGGGAUGAUAAUGACAGUACCUGGAGAAUAAGCUCCGGCUAACUCCGUG
rnacentral:rRNA from 1 species